AAGUACAUCUUCCGACAGAGGGAGUAGAUAUACAGUUUGCUCCAAUACUAUACACUCUGAACCUGGAAAACACCCUUCAAUAGUCUUUUUUACAUGAGAAAAACACCCCUCAAUCGGCUGUGGAGCAUUCUGUAUGUUGACCCUUCAUCAGAAAGAGCCACUUGGAAGAUUUUUUAUUUUUCCUUGUGAACUGAAAUUUGGGGAUCCACUUCAGAACCAUGAGAUGAUUGUUUAAAAGAGAAACAAAAAUUGGAUUUUGAGUCCUUCCCGGCUGAGGUGAGACAAGGAUGUCACCUUCUCUUCCUCAUUGCUUUGGGCGAGUAACGCGCCGGGUGCCUCAUCAAGGGCAGUCACGUAGAGGAUGAGGGGCCUUUCUAGAACAGGAGCAGAGAGCACCGGAGGGUUCAGUAGAUAAGUCUUGAUAUCUUCAAAGCCUUUGUGACAUGCUUCGUCUCAUUCAGAGGACUCGUCUUUCUUUAACAGACGGGUGAAGGACUUGCACCGUCCUAAAAGGUUAGAAAUGUACC
rnacentral:lncRNA from 1 species